rfam:Rhodnius prolixus Rhodnius_prolixus-3.0.3-3.14, whole genome shotgun sequence.
CUAACGGCCCUUUUCAGGGCCACAAAUUUUUCACAAUAUUUUUAA